GUUGGUCUUUGUGCUUAAUCCUAUUCUAAAUCACAAAAUUUUAUCUAGAACAUUGACCUUUUGCAGAAAAUUCUUCACAACUUUGAUACUAUUAGAGAGACUCCAAGCUUAACCACAAGAGGUUCGGAAAUGGAUAGCAACCGAAGCUAAUACCAGAGCUUGACUUCAAAGGUCACUAUUCGGGUACAACAACAACUAUGCCUUGAUCCCAAGCAAUUUGGGACAACCUGACAUGAGGAAACCUAGGUGCUGUUAGGAUUCUUCAAGAAUCAUUUCCCGAACCUGGUAGGCUUCAGUCGAUAUAUGCUGACUUUUGGGGGAUGCAAAAGCGGAAAAAACAAUAUAUUCUCACAAAACGCAUUUAGUUGGGUCAUGCAUUUUGCAGCUAUAGCAUAUGUUGGUGAGAGCACUCUUGAUCCUCUAAAGUAAGUAUAGUUGAGUUUCUUUGAGGACUUUUCUUCCAUAUAUACAUGUAUUCAUGUAGCAUUGUUUUAGAGGAAUAGAAAAUUUAAUUUUUAAAGCGAACUUUGAUCAAUGGAGUCUUUUCUUUUUACCAAACAAAAAAGGAAGGAACUCCCUAGAAACAUCAAGUAUGUGUUGAUAGUGAAAUCUUUGUGACAUUAUUUUUUGAGAAUUAAGCAUAAAAUCUAGGGUAACAUUUUAUUUCUUGUCUUGAUUUAGACGGUGUUUGGAUGCAGUGGCUUCUAAACUUUGUUUUUCCUUUAAUUUGUGGCGAGUUUAAGUUUGACAGCUAGAGUAUAUUGAACUUAAACUGCCCAUUGCCUUUCUUCUCUUUGUUCUUCUUCUUAAUAGUUGUUGUCCACUCAAUUUUGAAUUGUUUUGAUGUUUUUUUUGAUCUUGCAAUUUUUUUUUUUUUAGUGUUGAAGCCUUAUGCUACAAUUUCCUAGUGGACAAGUUCUCCAUUUUUGAGGAUUUUUUUCACAUGUAAUUUUUUAGAUGAAAUGAUAUAACAUAUGCUUUUAUCAUUCAAAUUUGGUUUGUACAAGGUAGCAUGACAAAUAUUAUUACAUAUACUUAUUAGGAGGUUCUUACAAUUAAGGGCAGAAGUAAGCAUUAUUAUGUUUCAACUAAUAGGUGUUCACUCGCUGGUUCUUGUUACUAUUGAAAAGCUCUUGCCAAAAUUUAAGUCUGAAUCUUUUGAAUAAUUGUUGGACAGAGAUGGUAAAAUAUCUUCAUGGAUUUAAAGUUCCUUGUUGUCUCAAUUUUGCUUCUUUCAUAGUGGUAAUUGUUCUAAUAGCUGUUACUUUUAUCAUUUUGGCUAAAGUGCUUUAGUACCUUUUCAUCUGCCUGGUUAUGCGAGUCAAUUGCGUGAAAUUUGCUUCCAGUUUACGCAGUGAAAUUAGUAUGGUCAUUCAAAUAUUUGUUACUUUUAUUACUAAUAUCAAUCUUGAUGUAAUUAAACUUGUCAUUGUAAGCCAUCUACUCUUUUGCUUGCUUUUACAAAGAAAGGAUGAAAGAGAGUUUGCCAUCUUUUAUAGAGCUGCACCUGAUUCAGGUGCUUGAACUGAUGAACUUGAUGAGGACUUUGAUGACGAUGAAGAAAAUGAGCCUAAUGUAACAGUCUCAGUACCCC